AGGUCAUUUCAAACAGGGCUGAUGCAACCAAAUCUGGGUGCUUUAACACGGACCAAAGACCGAGUCUUCCAAAGGUGUACCAGUCACUCAGCAGUGCUGCACUCUCCUGAUGGAGAUACAAGA
ensembl:snoRNA